CAUGGGGUCGUCAGCUCGUGUUGUGAAAUGUUGGGUUAAGUCCCGCAAUCGAGCGCAACCCUUAUCCUUUGUCGCCAGCGCGUAAUGGCGGGAACUCAAAGGAGACUGCCCGGUGAUAAACCGGAGGAAGGUGGGGAUGACGUCAAGUCAUCAUGGCCCUUACGGAGUAGGGCUACACACGUGCUACAAUGGCAGAUACAAAGAGAAGCGACCUCGCGAGAGCAAGCGGAAUUCAUAAACUCUUUUCUAG
rnacentral:rRNA from 1 species